rnacentral:rRNA from 1 species
GAUGAACGCUAGCGGCAGGCCUAACACAUGCAAGUCGAGCGGUAGAGGACCUUCGGGUUCUUGAGAGCGGCGCACGGGUGCGUAACGCGUAUGCAACCUACCCUUUACAGGGGAAUAGCCCGUCGAAAGGCGGAUUAAUGCCCCAUGGCUCCUUUGAGAGGCAUCUCUUGAAGGGUAAAGAUUCAUCGGUAUCGGAUGGGGAUGCGUGACAUUAGAUAGUAGGCGGGGUAACGGCACCUAGUCUACGAUGUCUAGGGGUUCUGAGAGGAAGGUCCCCCACACUGGAACUGAGACACGGUCCAGACUCCUACGGGAGGCAGCAGUGAGGAAUAUUGGUCAAUGGUCGGAAGACUGAACCAGCCAAGUAGCGUGAAGGAUGAAGGUUCUAUGGAUUGUAAACUUCUUUUAUACGGGAAUAAAACACCUUACGUGUAGGGUCUUGUAUGUACCGUAUGAAUAAGCAUCGGCUAACUCCGUGCCAGCCGCCGCAGUAACAC